AGGGUCAUUACAGACCCAUUUAAUUCCAAUUUGCUUUCUCUCUCGGGCAGCUUAUAUAUCUCUCUCUCGCUGCUUCUGUUUUUUUUCUUUUCUUUUUUCUUUUUCAACUUCAAUCCUUGAUUUCUCUCUCAAUUCUUAGCGGAUUUAGGUGCCGUUUGAGGCAAAACGACGAGCACGACGAGCUCUACGUGCUAGUACCAGAAAUUCCAGCUUUUGGUCCUCUUUGGGAGCUCGAAUUUAAGGACCCAUUUUAAGGGUUUUGUGCAAUCUUGAGGUCAUGGCAAAGAAACGGCGGAUGACAAUCCUCCGCAAACUUGAAAGUUGUUAGAAGGAAAUGGGAAAGAAGUGGCGGAUGAAAAUCCUCCACAAGCUUGAAGAAGAUUAGGAGUUGUAUUUUGUUAUCUUUUGUAUCUUAGCCCAUUUUUUUUGUAUAGUCUCAAAACUAAAAUGUCGUGUAUUCAUUUUUGCAAGACAAGGUCAUGUAUUAUAAAUCAUAACUCUUGUUGAUAUUUUGAAGGGAAGCAAGACUAUGUAAAUGCUUAAGUUGAAUGGGAUGACGAUGAUGGGCUAACUUGGGGAGAUUGUUGAUGUUGUGGUAUUGGGGAAUGUAUUAUAUUUCUUUUGUA